rnacentral:rRNA from 1 species
CAAAAAGUAAUUAAGGGCGCAUGGCGGAUGCCUUGGCUCUCAGAGGCGAUGAAGGACGUGAUAAGCUGCGAUAAGCUUCGAUGAGGUGCAAAUAACCUUUGAUUCGAAGAUUUCCGAAUGGGACAACCUAGCAGUUUGAAGAACUGUUAUCCUUUUAAGGAGGCCAACCCAGUGAACUGAAACAUCUAAGUAACUGGAGGAAAAGAAAACAAUUAGUGAUUCCCUUAGUAGCGGCGAGCGAAAGGGGAACAGCCCAAACCAUCAUUGUUUCGGCAAUGUUGGGGUUGUAGGACCACGCUGUAAGAGUUAUAAUUGAAGUAGAAGCAUCUGGAAAGUUGCACCAUAGAGGGUGAUAGUCCCGUAUACGUAAGAUUAUAAUUUUUUAGUGGUAUCCUGAGUAGGGCGGGACAUGUGAAAUCCUGUCUGAAUCUGCCAGAACCAUCUGGUAAGGCUAAAUACUACUGAGAGACCGAUAGCGAACAAGUACCGUGAGGGAAAGGUGAAAAGUACCCCGAACAGGGGAGUGAAAUAGAUCCUGAAACCGUGCGCUUACAAGCGGUAGGAGCCCUUAGGGGUGACUGCGUGCCUUUUGCAUAAUGAUCCUACGAGUUACUCCUCACUAGCAAGGUUAAGAGUCUUGAGACUCGCAGCCGAAGCGAAAGCAAGUCUGAAUAGGGCGUACAGUUAGUGGGGGUAGACGCGAAACUUGGUGAUCUACCCAUGGGCAGGUUGAAGCUCCGUUAAUCCGGAGUGGAGGACCGAACCGCCAGACGUUGAAAAGUCUUCGGAUGACCUGUGGGUAGGGGUGAAAGGCCAAUCAAACCAAGAGAUAGCUCGUACUCUCCGAAAUGCAUUUAGGUGCAGCCUUGAACUCUAUAGUUAUAGAGGUAGAGCGACUGAUUGGAUGCGGGGGCUUCACCGCCUACCAAUUCCAGACAAACUCCGAAUGCUAUAACUUUAUAUUCAAGAGUGAGGGCAUGGGUGCUAAGGUCCAUGUCCGAGAGGGGAACAACCCAGACCAUCAGCUAAGGUCCCAAAAUUUACGCUAAGUUGACCUAACGUGGUUCGAUUGCAUUGACAGCUAGGAUGUUGGCUUGGAAGCAGCCAUUCAUUUAAAGAGUGCGUAACAGCUCACUAGUCGAGCGAUCGAGCGUGGAUAAUAAUCGGGCAUAAGCGUAAUACCGAAGCUAUGGAUUGUAUUUAUACAAUGGUAGGAGAGCAUUCUAGUUGCGCCGAAGGUGUGUUGUGAAGCAUGCUGGAGCGGCUAGAAAAGAAAAUGUAGGAAUGAGUAACGAUAAUGCGGGCGAGAAACCCGCACGCCAAUAGACUAAGGUUUCCUGAUCAACGCUAAUCGGAUCAGGGUUAGUCGGGUCCUAAGGCGAACCCAAAUGGGGUAGUCGAUGGACAACUGGUUAAUAUUCCAGUACUAGUUAUUACUGCGAUGGAGUGACGGAGAAGUGAAAGGACUCCGACCUGACGGAAUAGGUCGGUAAAGUGUCUAGGUAUAUUUUCUAUAGGUAAAUCCGUAGAGAAUGCUGAAACACGAUAGUACUAGGAGGCUUCGGCUGAAUAGAUUGUCUGUAAUCAUGCUCCCAAGAAAAACUUCUAAGCUUCAGGUAAUAACUACCCGUACCGUAAACCGACACAGGUAGUCAAGUAGAAUAUACUAAGGCGCUCGAGUGAUCCGUGGCUAAGGAACUAGGCAAAAUAGCCUCGUAACUUCGGGAGAAGAGGCGCUUCCCUACCUCGGUAGGAAGCCGCAGUGAAUAGGCCCAAGCGACUGUUUAUCAAAAACACAGGACUCUGCUAAAUCGAAAGAUGAUGUAUAGGGUCUGACACCUGCCCGGUGCUGGAAGGUUAAGAGGAGGGGUUAUACUUCGGUAGAAGCUCUGAAUUGAAGCCCCAGUAAACGGCGGCCGUAACUAUAACGGUCCUAAGGUAGCGAAAUUCCUUGUCGGGUAAGUUCCGACCUGCACGAAUGGUGUAACGAUUUGGGCACUGUCUCAGCCACGAGCUCGGUGAAAUUGUAGUAUCGGUGAAGAUGCCGAUUACCCGCAACGGGACGAAAAGACCCCGUGAACCUUCACUACAACUUAACAUUGAUUUCGGACAAAUAAUGUGUAGGAUAGGUGGGAGACUUCGAAGCUGCGUCGCUAGGCGUGGUGGAGUCGUCCUUGAAAUACCACCCUUUAUUUGUCUGGACUCUAACCCGUAUUACGGGGACAGUGUUUGGUGGGUAGUUUGACUGGGGUGGUCGCCUCCAAAAGAGUAACGGAGGCUUCCAAAGGUACCCUCAGCACGCUUGGUAACCGUGCGUAGAGUGCAAUGGCAUAAGGGUGCUUAACUGUGAGACCUACAAGUCGAGCAGAGACGAAAGUCGGGCAUAGUGAUCCGGUGGUUCCGCAUGGAAGGGCCAUCGCUCAAAGGAUAAAAGGUACUCCGGGGAUAACAGGCUGAUCACUCCCAAGAGCUCACAUCGACGGAGUGGUUUGGCACCUCGAUGUCGGCUCGUCACAUCCUGGGGCUGGAGAAGGUCCCAAGGGUUGGGCUGUUCGCCCAUUAAAGUGGCACGCGAGCUGGGUUCAGAACGUCGCGAGACAGUUCGGUCUCUAUCUGUUGUGGGCGUUAGAAAUUUGCGAGAACCUGACUCUAGUACGAGAGGACCGAGUUGGACAGACCUCUAGUGUAUCUGUUGUGACGCCAGUUGCAUUGCAGAGUAGCUAUGUCUGGAUGAGAUAAGCGCUGAAAGCAUCUAAGCACGAAACUCAUCUCAAGAUUAGAUUUCUUUUAAGGGUCGUUAUAGACGAUAACGUUGAUAGGUCAUAGGUGUAAAGGCAGAGAUGUCAUAGCCGAGUGAUACUAAUUACCCUUUAGCUUUUUGUA